rnacentral:rRNA from 1 species
AGCGAACGCUGGCGGCAGGCUUAACACAUGCAAGUCGAGCGGGCGUAGCAAUACGUCAGCGGCAGACGGGUGAGUAACGCGUGGGAACAUACCUUUUGGUUCGGAACAACACAGGGAAACUUGUGCUAAUACCGGAUAAGCCCUUACGGGGAAAGAUUAUCGCCGAAGAUGUCCGCCGUCUGAUAGUCUAGUUGGUUGGAGGUAACGGACGUCACCAACGGACGGACGAUCAGU